AGUCAUUGCACUUCAGGCAUCAGACAGCGAACCAGGUCAAGUCUACAAAGCUGCACUUCGUUGUUUCUGAGAACUCUGCACUUUCUGGUUUACUCUUGCCGCAAGUGGAGUGAAUCAUGAUCUGGCUCGUUGUUCCUUUUUCCUAUGCAUAUACUUCUUUGAGAAUUGCUUCUAAAGAGGUAUAGGGCAUGGGAAAAUGGGGCAACUGAGGUACUCAACCACUCAUCUCAGGCAGCAUCGUGAAGGCAACGGCAGAAAUGUUUUGAGAAAACAGAUGGGCCAAGAAAUGAAAGGUGCCAGGAUCGGCCGCCACUGAAUCCAGGUGUCUUGGAGGUGGAAGUAGAAGCUCUUUGCUCAUUUCAUUUAGUAGAAAAACAAAUUUUUUAUGUUUCUGUUCCAUUGCUUUCAUUUACUCUAAUAGCAAUGUGUCACAUCAGUUCUGGGGGGAAAAAUACUGCUGUCAUGAAACAAUGUAACUGUACAUAAUGCAUGUCAAAUAAAUAUCUAAUGUUUCAGUCACA